rnacentral:rRNA from 1 species
UACGGGGGGAGCAAGCGUUGUUCGGAUUUACUGGGCGUAAAGGGCGCGUAGGCGGCCACCGCAAGUCGGUUGUGAAAUCUCCGGGCUUAACCCGGAAAGGUCAAUCGAUACUGCGGGGCUAGAGUGCAGAAGGGGCAACUGGAAUUCUCGGUGUAGCGGUGAAAUGCGUAGAUAUCGAGAGGAACACCUGCGGCGAAGGCGGGUUGCUGGGCUGACACUGACGCUGAGGUGCGAAAGCGUGGGGAGCAAACAGG